UACGUAGGAGGCAAGCGUUGUCCGGAUUUAUUGGGCGUAAAGAGCGCGUAGGCGGCCCGGAAAGUCGGAUGUGAAAACCCGGGGCUCAACCCCGGGCCUGCAUCCGAUACUCCCGGGCUGGAGGCAGGUAGGGGAGAUCGGAAUUCCUGGUGUAGCGGUGAAAUGCGCAGAUAUCAGGAGGAACACCGGUGGCGAAGGCGGAUCUCUGGGCCUGUCCUGACGCUGAGGCGCGAAAGCUAGGGGAGCGAACAGG
rnacentral:rRNA from 1 species